rnacentral:rRNA from 1 species
GACGAACGCUGGCGGCGUGCCUAAUACAUGCAAGUUGAGCGCUGAAGGUUGGUACUUGUACCAACUGGAUGAGCAGCGAACGGGUGAGUAACGCGUGGGGAAUCUGCCUUUGAGCGGGGGACAACAUUUGGAAACGAAUGCUAAUACCGCAUAAAAACUUUAAACACAAGUUUUAAGUUUGAAAGAUGCAAUUGCAUCACUCAAAGAUGAUCCCGCGUUGUAUUAGCUAGUUGGUGAGGUAAAGGCUCACCAAGGCGAGGAUACAUAGCCGACCUGAGAGGGUGACCGGCCAAAUUGGGACGGAGAAACGGCCCAAACCCCUACGGGAGGCAGCAGUAGGGAAUUUUCGGCAAUGGGCGAAAGUCUGACCGAGCAACGCCGCGUGAGUGAAGAAGGUUUUCGGAUCGUAAAACUCUGUUGGCAGGGAAGAACGUUGGUGGAAGGAAAAAGCCACACAAUGACGGUAACUGACCAGAAAGGGACGGCUAAAUACGGG